rnacentral:lncRNA from 1 species
GAGGCUCGACGGUUGUGUUUUCGCAUCGAAACCAGCCCAAUCAUACCCUGCAACGGGCGGAAAGCCACCGUAAGGCACUAACGGGACGGGAUCCACCUGUAUACCACCCCGUGUUAAAAAGAGGGGGGUACCGAAGAAGAUACGGUCAGCAUCAGCGGCGNGCAACUCNGUCCCUGGUGGAAUCACCGCCCGGCGAGGCACAGUAACCACUUCGGCAGGAGGAUACUCUUCAGGGGUAGGAGCGUCGAAGCUAGACCCCGU